rnacentral:sRNA from 1 species
CCCAGAGGCCCCCUAGGGGCGUUUCCUCCCUGACUUGGGCCACUCGUUCGGAGUGGCCCCUUUUUUUGGACUCC